rnacentral:snRNA from 1 species
GGAUGUCAGAACAAUCUGGCUGCGACAUCCGUCACCCCACUGAUCACCAGGGUUGAUUCGGCUGACCUGGCUGGCUAGCAGGCGUCCUCUUCCUUCCUCACCAACUCCUUGUGCGUCCCUCCAGAAGCUACACCAUCUACCUAAGAGGAUGAUCAUCCCUGAUAGGGGAGGAUUGGUCUUCGGCCAAGGGUAUCCAAGUAGCUGCGCUCUUCUGCCAGAACCUCCAAACAAGUUAUCAAGGAAGUAGGAAGAGAGAAAAAGAGAAAAAGAAGGGAGA